GGAUCAUAGCUCAAUGGCAGAGCACUUGCUUUGUGUGCAGAAGGUCCCAGAUUUGAUCCCCAGCAUCUCCA